rnacentral:rRNA from 1 species
GCUCGUAGUUGGAUUUCUGGCAGGGUGACUCUGCCCUCUUGAUGAGUGCGCAGUGUUGCCCUACCAUCCUUCUGUUAACCCUUUAGGCCUUAAAAAGUCUUUUGGGGGCUCAGAUAUUUUACCUUGAGAAAAUUAGAGUGUUUCAGGCAGGCUAGCGCCGGAAUACAUUAGCAUGGAAUAAUAGAAUAGGACUUUUACCUCUUCUGUUGGUCUGAGGGGUUCAAGUAAUGAUUAAUAGGGAUAGUUGGGGGCAUUAGUACUUUACUGUCAGAGGUGAAAUUCUCGGAUUUGUAAAAGACUAACUUAUGCGAAAGCUUUUGCCAAGGAUGUUUUCAUUAAUCAAGAAACGAAAGUUAGGGGAUCAAAAUACGAUCAGAUACCCGUAGUAGUCUUAAACCAUAAAACUAUGCCCGACUCGGGGAUCGGGGGCGAGAGUUAUCCCGCCUUUCGGCACCCGUAUGAGAAAUCAAAAGUCUUUUGGGUUUCUGGGGGGGAUAUGGUCCGCAGGCUGAAACUUUAAAGGAAAUUGACGGAAGGGCACCACCCAGGCGUGGAGCUUGCGGCUC